UCCAGAUGUUGUCUUGGCACAGAAAUCCU
rnacentral:piRNA from 1 species